AUUAAGGGCAAAACCAUUGAAAGAUGGUGACGCAAAGCUAGAGGGACUACAGUGUUGGUUGAAUUCACAACACUAUGUUAGCCAGCUGCUA
rnacentral:ncRNA from 1 species